rnacentral:misc_RNA from 1 species
UCCGGUUUGUCACCGGCAGUCUCGCAUGAGUCCCCAACUAAAUGCUGGUACCCGACUCUACGGGUCGCCGACCCUUUCGGGCGACUACUGCCAGCAUGUCAAGCCCUGGUAAGGUUCUUCGCUUUGCAUCGAAUUAAGCCACGCGCUCCGCCGCUUGUGCGGGCCCCCGUCAAUUCCUUUGAGUUUUAGCCUUGCGGCCGUACUCCCCAGGCGGGGUGCUUAAUGCGUUAGCUGCGGCACGGAAGUCUUGCGACCCCCACACCUAGCACCCACCGUUUACGGCUAGGACUAC